GAUGAACGCUGGCGGCGUGCCUAAUACAUGCAAGUCGAGCGAACAGACGAUGAGCUUGCUCCUCUGACGUUAGCGGCGGACGGGUGAGUAACACGUGGAUAACCUACCUAUAAGACUGGGAUAACUUCGGGAAACCGGAGCCAAUACCGGAUAAUAUAUUGAACCGCAUGGUUCAAUAGUGAAAGACGGUUUUGCUGUCACUUAUAGAUGGAUCUGCGCCGCAUUAGCUAGUUGGUAAGGUAACGGCUUACCAAGGCAACGAGGCGUAGCCGACCUGAGAGGGUGAUCGGCGACACUGGAACUGAGACACGGUCCAGACUCCUACGGGAGGCAGCAGUAGGGAAUCUGACGCAAUGGGCGAAAGCCUGACGGAGCAACGCCGCGUGAGAGAUGAAGGUCUUCGGAGCGUAAAACUCUGUUAUUAGGGAAGAACAAAUGUGUAAGUAACUAUGCACGUCUUGACGGUAACUAAUAAGAAAGCCACGGCUAACUACGUG
rnacentral:rRNA from 1 species